rnacentral:rRNA from 1 species
CCCUUAGAUGUUCUGGGCCGCACGCGUGCUACACUGAGUGGAUCAGCGGGUCAGGUUGCGCGAAAGCGUUUCCUAAUCUUUAAAUCCGCUCGUGAUGGGGAUUGACGGUUGCAAUUUUCUGUCAUGAACGAGGAAUACCUUGUAAGCGCGGGUCAUCAUCCCGCGCUGAAUACGUCCCUGCCCUUUGUACACACCGCCCGUCGCUCCUACCGAUUGAGUGGUCCGGUGAGGCUUUGGGAUCUGAGCGGAAAGAGCGUUUCGCUGUUUCUGCUCGGAAAACUCAGUCGAACCUUAUCAUUUAGAGGAAGGAGAAGUCAUAACA